rnacentral:rRNA from 1 species
UUUGAUCCUGGCUCAGGAUGAACGCUAGCGCGAGGCCUAACACAUGCAAGCCGAGCGGUAGAGAUUCUUCUGGAUCUAGAGAGCGGCGUACGGGUAAGGAACACGUGUGCAACCUGCCUUUAUGGAGGGAUUGCCUUUCGAAAGGAAGAUUAAUACCCCUUAAUAUAAGAGAAGGCAUCGUUUUUUAUUGAAAACUCCGGUGGAUAGAGAUGGGCACGCGCAAGAUUAGAUAGUUGGUGAGGUAUCGGCUCACCAAGUCUGCGAUCUUUAUGGGGCCUGAGAGGGUGAUCCCCCACACUGGUACUGAGACCCGGACCAGACUCCUACGGGACGCAGCAGUGAGGAAUAUUGGACAAUGGGUCAGAGCCUGAUCCAGCCAUCCCGCGUGAAGGACNACGGCCCUAUGGGUUNUAAACUUCUUUUGUAUAGGGAUAAACCUACCCUCGUGAGGGUAGCUGAAGGUACUAUCGAAUAAGCACCGGCUAACUCCGUGCCAGCAGCCGCGGUAAUACGGAGGGUGCAAGCGUUAUCCGGAUUUAUUGGGUUUAAAGGGUCCGUAGGCGGAUGUGUAAGUCAGUGGUGAAAUCUCCCAGCUUAACUGUGAAACUGCCAUUGAUACUGCAUGUCUUGAGUGUUGUUGAAGUAUGCUGGAAUAACUAUGUGUAGCGGUGAAAUGCAUAGAUAUUACUUAGAACACCAAUUGCGAAGGCAGGCUACCUAAGCAACAACUGACGCUGAUGUACGAAAGGCGUGGGAGCAAC